UACAGAGGUCUCAAGCGUUGUUCGGAUUCAUUGGGCGUAAAGGGUGCGUAGGCGGCGCGGUAAGUCGGGUGUGAAAUCUCGGAGCUUAACUCCGAAACUGCAUUCGAUACUACCGUGCUUGAGGACUGGAGAGGAGACUGGAAUUUACGGUGUAGCGGUGAAAUGCGUAGAUAUCGUAAGGAAGACCAGUGGCGAAGGCGGGUCUCUGGGACGUGACUGACGCUGAGACGCGAAAGCGUGGGGAGCGAACAGG
rnacentral:rRNA from 1 species